AUGAAUCACUAUGAAUAUGUUUAUUGUUUAUUAUUGUAAAUUUCUAUUUUCUUUUUAAAAAAACUUUGAUAUAUUCACCGCGAUCUUGCUGUACAUUUGCUGAACAAAAUGACUUUGGUGUAUUACGUCUCGUGGUUUGCUACCUUGAAUAAUAUUUUGUUUUUCUCAACUGGAAUGUAAGUGUUUUUAUAUAUACUGUACAUAAUUAAAGGUCUUGGUUUGCACAAUCAAAGUCUCUGCGAUCACAGUAGGAAUUUUGCAUAGUUAAAUUUUAAGUUUUGAAGGAUUUGUGAAAGAAAUGUUGAGGGUACUGAUUCAUUGUUUAAUGCAAAGUCAGUUUCCUCAAACAUUUCUUAGGUAAAUUCUAAGUUUUGAUGGAUUUGUAUGGAACUGAUUCCUAGUGUACGUGAUCCCAGACUUAUUGUAACAUACUAUAUGGUUGUUGAUCGUUGUUGAUUUGUUUACAGCUUCAAAAAGGUUGUAUUGUUGCAGGAUUUUUACAAGUAAAACACGUUGAUACUGCUAUUUUUUAUAUGUUUUACAUUCAAGUGAAAUCACUGAUUCACUUGUAAUACCAUUAUUCACUUGUAAUACCAAUUGAUCUAAUUAGAAGUCCUUAAAUAUAAGCCCUGAUCAUAUCUUUUGUAUUUCAACGCUAAGCUGGCAGAAAUGAUGACUUUCACUAACUCAGUUGUAGCACUCUUCCCUUGACAAGUAAAAUCAUCUGGUGUUGGACGGAUUAAAAUAGUAACGUAGGGUGCAUUUCCACCUAAAAGAUUUACACAAUGCAUGGGCAGAUAGUUUGAUUGACCCAUUGAGUUGUAGCGCUCUCCUCUUGACAAGUCAAAUUGCCAAGUGUUAGACAGAGUAAGGGAAUUAAGUAGGGCACAUCAGGGUGCAUUGCUAAUUCUUAAAGUGUUAAUUUGUAACUUUCCUUUUAUUAGUUUUACUUGUCGAAAAAUUAUAAGAAACAACAGCACAGAAUAUGUCUCACACUUGCCGUUUUUGGUCACUGCUUUCAGGUCAGUUCUGUAUAUG
rnacentral:lncRNA from 1 species